rnacentral:rRNA from 1 species
UGCUUAACACAUGCAAGUCUACGACGAAAAAGGUAGCAAUAUCUUGAUUAAAGUGGCGCACGGGUGAGUAACACGUGAGCAAUCUACCCUUGGAUUUGGAAUAACCCGUCGAAAGACGUGCUAAUACCGAACGACACGCGGGAAUCGCAUGGUUCCUUCGUUAAAGUUGCAGCAAUGUAACGUCCAGGCAUGAGCUUGCGUCUGAUUAGCUAGUUGGUAGGGUAAUGGCCUACCAAGGCGACGAUCAGUAGCUGGUCUGAGAGGAUGAUCAGCCACACUGGAACUGAGACACGGUCCAGACUCCUACGGGAGGCAGCAGUGAGGAAUAUUGGGCAAUGCCCGCAAGGGUGACCCAGCAACGCCGCGUGGAGGAUGAAAGCCGUAAGGUUGUAAACUCCUGUGAGAGGGGACGAAUGAUUACGUUUCGUAAGGAACGUGAAGUGACUGUACCCUCAGAGGAAGCCCCGGCUAACUACGUGCCAGCAGACGCGGUAAUACGUACGGGGCAAGCGUUGUCCGGAUUUACUGGGUGUACAGGGCGCGUAGGCGGGUUGACAAGUAGAUAGUGAAAUCCUGCGGCUUAACCGCAGAACUGCCCCUAAUACUGUCAAUCUUGAGUUCAGAAGAGAGAAGCGGAAUUCCAGGUGUAGUGGUGAAAUACGUAGAUAUCUGGAAGAACACCAGUUGCGAAGGCGGCUUCUUGGUCUGACACUGACGCUGAGGCGCGAAAGCGUGGGGAGCAAACAGGAUUAGAGACCCUGGUAGUCCACGCUGUAAACGAUGAAUACUAGAUGUCGGGGUAAAACCUCGGUAUCGCAGCUAACGCAUUAAGUAUUCCACCUGGGGAGUACGAUCGCAAGGUUGAAACUCAAAGGAAUUGACGGGGGCCCGCACAAGCAGUGGAGCAUGUGGUUUAAUUCGAUGAUACGCGAGGAACCUUACCCGGGCUCGAACGGUGCAGUAAUAUGGUAGAGAUAUCAUAGCUAGCAAUAGACUGUAUCGAGGUGCUGCAUGGUUGUCGUCAGCUCGUGCCGUGAGGUGUCGGCUUAAGUGCCAUAACGAGCGCAACCCUUGUCGUUAGUUACCAUCAAAUAAAGUUGGGGACUCUAGCGAGACUGCCACCGUAAGGUGUGAGGAAGGGGGGGAUGACGUCAAAUCAGCACGGCCCUUACGUCCGGGGCGACACACGUGUUACAAUGGUAGGUACAGAGGGCCGCUACCCAGUGAUGGGGUGCCAAUCUCAAAAACCUAUCUCAGUUCGGAUCGGAGUCUGCAACUCGACUCCGUGAAGUUGGAUUCGCUAGUAAUCGCGCAUCAGCCAUGGCGCGGUGAUACGUUCCCGGGCCUUGUACACACCGCCCGUCAAGCCAUGGAAGCUG